CCCGCCCGGCCCCGGGCGCCGCCACCCCGCCGCCGCCGCUGACCUCACGGGCGGGCUGCGGGGAAAGCGCGGAGCGGGGCACGGCUCGGGACGGGGGCUCCCCGUCGCCUCCCAGCCCUUUUAUUUAUUUAUUUUUUGUGUGUGUAUGUGUGUUUUUUUGUUUUUUUUUUUAAGUUAUUUUACAACACAGCGCGGCGCACGGUGCCACCCCCCCCCCCCCCAAUAGGGGAACCCCACAGCACCAGCCCCACACGCACAGCCGGGAAGGGAAGGGAAGGGAAGGGAAGGGAAGGGAAGGGAAGGGAAGGGAAGGGAAGGGAAGGGAAGGGAAGGGAAGGGAAGGGAAGGGAAGGGAAGGAGGGAGGAGGGGGGGGAGAGCAGAGUUCAGCGCUGCGUGCGGGGGAGACAAAGUCUGCGGAGCGUGGCCGCCUUCCAGCAACUCCUGCUGGAACAGCUGCGGCCGCUCGGGGCCCUCCCCCGGGCAGGGGCCUCGCUGGCUGCCUGCCCGCCCGGCUGCGCCGCGGCGAGGCGAAGGCGGGGUUCGGGCCAGGCGGGUUCCAGAGCGUUUCAUGCGGUCCCCGGGGCCCGGAGGGACUCGCUCCGAGCCCAGCCGGGGGCGAGCGGGGCAGCGCCGCGCCCAGGGGCUCGGUCCCCGGGGCCCGGCAGCGCCGCGGGCUCGGCUGAGGGGCGCCGCCCUGAGGGAGCCCCUGAGGCGGCCCCCGCCGCCCGCCCUCAGCCGGGCAGCGCCGCGGGGCCCCUCAGCCGGGGCCGGCCUCCUUCCCUCCCUCCUUCUCCCCUUCUCUCCCUCCUUCUCCUUUCCCUCCCUCCUUCUCGCCUUCCCUCCCUCCUUCUCCUUUUCCCUCCCUCCUUCUCGCCUUCCCUCCCUCCUUCCCUCCCUCAGCCCAGUGCCCGCUGCUCCUCCCGGCCGUGAGGUGAGCCCCUGAGGGGCUCCCUCCUCGCCCCACUUGUACGUGUUGCACAAGUUCUCCGAGCUCCCACACAGCCGUGGGCAGCGAUAGCGGCUUGGUGUCAAUAAAUACACGAGAAAAGCUCCGAGAGCCUCGCUCGGGACGUUUCUGGCCUUUGUCACCCAAGGGUUUGGGCGCUGUGUUGAGGUCAGGGUGGUAAAAAGCUGGCCUGAGGUAGCGCACUGAAGGGUGAGCACAAUUUGGGGAUGUAAAAAUAAGCACAGAGCACUCCGGACCCUAACGCUGUGCCUCCUCACCAACAUUUUCACUUGUCAGCUUCAGAAGUACCAAAUUAAAGAUGACGUGCUGUGGCAACCGCAGCUUUUGCUGGCCUGUUUUCUUGGGAACUCUUUCAUAACAAAAAGCCUCCCUUGGUUCGUUCCCCAGGUAAUUAAAUAAGAUCUUCGUGAUACUUUCCUAUCUAUUCGUGGAGAUAAAGGCGAUACAUUUAUCUCCAUCUCUAUACAAACGCACACGUACGUAUGCAUAAUUAUACAAAGCCACUCAGUUCCUCAGCCAUGCAAAGACAACUGCUGGAUUAUUGGCGCGACUUCCUUGGCCCGACUGCUGAAAAUGUACCAAUUCCUGCCAAAUUAAAAAAUACGUUCUAAGCCAAACAUUUGUAUUACAGUGUCCCUACAUGACCACAAAGGUGUACUGCUCAUAGGACUUCAGAUAGGGGAGCUUAGAUGUUUACAUGUUGUCUAAUACAUCAAAUUUUGUUAGGCAAGCGAACGUAAAUUAACAGAAAACAUUUCAUCCUGCGCAGGCCCAGGCUUGGGUGGAAGGGAAGGGCAGGGAGAGGGAAGCGAAAGGCCACAGCCUCCACACAGCCGGAUCAGCGGCGUGGCAUUUGCUGGAGUUGCCAGGUUGCCAUCUGGCCUGUUAAAAAAAUGGCCAUCUCCUGAAAUAAUGACUGUGCGAGCGCGGAUCCACUGCGCAUGCGCUGCGGCUUGGGUGAGUCUAGGAUGUGUCAGAGCUACUAUGCAUGUGCAAAUUGAUUUGAGCUUAGACACGUGAGCAUGCUGUGGGCUCAGCUCAACUGCUAGGUGUAUGAGGAAUAACUGUCACAGCCCACAGCAGAGAGACGUUCAGUGAAACCAACCGAUUUCGCUUGUACACUGCGUGGUUCAUCCAGUCAUGCCAUUUAAAUAUUGUUUAGUUUCUUUAGGCCCACUGUAAGUAGUUGAUGUUUGGCGAUUUUUUUAUAUUAUUUUAACGCAGAUAUGUGGUUAGCAGUGUUUUAACUUUUUUCUCCAUUGUUUCCGAUAUCGACUAUGUUUAUACAUCCUUAUCACAAUACAAAAUCCUGGCGCUAGCUUUGGUUUAGCAUGGUCUAGGACAAGAGCGUGUUAAGGGACUGAUGCCCAUUAGUCACAGGGACGUGCAUUAUCUCCUUACAUGUCAGAACAAAGCCGGGCAGGUCUGCUCUGUAAACUGCUGCUGCCAUUGCUGUGGCAAUCAAAGGUGUGAAGGACUGAAAGAGACUUGUGAGCAGGAGCCCAAGGCAGAGAUGGACUUGCAGGAAAGUGUAGAUUUGCUAGCAUUAUUUAUAUCCCUCAGUGAUGGCAGGGGGACAAGCUAGGAGAAGCGGUGUCACCAAAUAUAAAUCCUGUGUAGGAGUGCUUUGUUGAUUAAGGACAUUUGAACAGCUUUGUCAGGAAGAUUUUUAAGUUUAUAACUGGCCCAUGCUACCCAGCUAUUAUAAAUUAUCUUGGCAUGGAAAAAGCACAUUUUUACAACAAAGACAUAAUAUUAAAUGAACAGGCCCUCUGCUUUACUGAAUGUUAAGAGAUCUUCCAGUUCAGUGUAAACUAACUCAGGUGAACUGAGACACCUAUAUUUAUUUAUUUAUUUAUUUAUUUAUAUAUUUAGUUUUGUUUUGUUUUUUAACUUCCAAGGGCAGGCAACUUUGAAACUUUCAGCUAGAAUUUUACAUUGUCUUCUGUCUUGAAAUAAACAUUUCUGUGUUCUUGGUAUGGUUUUUGAAUAUAAGUGAGACCCUUGCAGCAGUGAUUAAAGAGCGCAUGCUUACAGUUUUGACUGCAAAACAUCUUGAGCUGUCCCAGUGUGCUUAAUGACAAACAGCAAUAUUUUCAUGCACAACAGUAGAACAAGUUGAAGAUGGGACACAGUCUUAAAUCAGCUCAUUAAGGAGAAGGAUCUCGUUAUGGAAAUCAUUAAAGGAAAACGACAACUGAUCUGUCUUACUUUAGGCAACAGCACAGCCUGGAUAUUAGGUACGACAUACCCUUGAGCAGUGGUGACUUUCCCAGCAGUUUGGUGAGGUGCUUGCUGCUGCAGAUGAUGGGGGAUAAGCCUUGCUUCUUGUCCUGACCGGUAUUCCCAGCCAGAUGGAGAAUUGCAGACAUCAGGUGCAACAGACAGGUACUGUGGAGGUCCGGUCCCCCUAAAAGCAAUCUAACUGCUCUUUGGAAGCAGUGUGGUUCACUCUUUAUGCAAAUAAUAAUAAUAUUAAUUCUAGUUCUUUUUUCUCCCCCACCUGCUUCCCACCAUGAAACAUCAUGACUUGGAUUCCACAAUUCCCCACACAAACUAAUCUAGAAUAAGUGUAUGAACAUGGGUCACGUUAAAUAAUAUGCUCGUGUUAAAGUCUAGGCUCCCCCAUCCCCUGCCUGCUUUAACUUGAUCAGUUUAGUAUGUGUUAAAGGCAGCCUUGCCUACGCUGUGAUAUAUGUGCUAACAUCACACCUUUACACCUUAGUCUCGCCAAAGCCCGAGGCCUUUUCAUCAUAUUAAGCUACUUUGACUGGGCUAAUGUGACUGAAAAACACACCUAUUUUAUCCAUUAAGACGGGGCCAAAAAUGUUAAAUGCUCAAGAUGCGAGCCCCCAGGGCUUGUCUAUAUAUCGAGUUAUUACACGUGGAGACUUUUAUCUUCAUAAGAAAAUGUUCUUUUUGUGCACGCCAAAGUGUGAGUUUAAAACUAGUGGUUAUACUAUAACCCUCGUGCAGACUCAUUCAUUCUGGCAUCUUCUGGCUUUUUUUCAGAUUAACUUCUUCCAAGUAAUUUAAAUUAAAUAAAAAAAAAAGAUACUCAGAGUAACUUUGUCCACACGAGGAAUUUACUCUUACUACACUUAGCGGUGGUACUAUUAAUAAGACCUUCCUGUGUGGAGAAGUUUUGUCAGGUAGGAAUGUUAAUUUUGCACAUUUGUACCUAGUAUUUUCAGAAAUGCUUAAAUUCUUCCUAAACUAUCAGUUCAUAUAAUUUGUUCUUCUAAGGAACGAUGGACUGUGCAGUGUUAUGUUGUAUUUUGUUAGCCUCUGCGUGCGGUUUGUAAAGCAUCCCCAAGUUACUUACAGACAUCAGUCUGCUCCCUUUCUUGUUACGUGUCUAAUUUGUGGCAAUCCGUUACAACUUUAUGAAUCUGUAAUUUUAUGACUGUUCAUAUUCUGAAUUUUAGUUUUGACAUAUCUGUGGUGGUGGACAGCCGAGAAAUAAAGUUUCAUUAAAUACUA